AUUGAACGCUGGCGGCAGGCCUAACACAUGCAAGUCGAGCGGAUGAAGGGAGCUUGCUCCUGGAUUCAGCGGAGGACGGGUGAGUAAUGCCUAGGAAACUGCCUGGUAGUGGGGGAUAACGUCCGGAAACGGGCGCUAAUACCGCAUACGUCCUGAGGGAGCACGCGGGGGCCUUUCUGAUCUCACGCUUUCAGAUGAGCCUAGGUCGGAUUAGCUAGUUGGUGAGGUACAGGCCUACCAAGGCGACGAUCCGUAACUGGUCUGUGAGGAUGAUCUGUCACCCUGGAACUGAGACACGUUCCAGACUCCUACGGGAGGCAGCAGUGUGGAAUAUUGUACAGUGGGCAGAAGCCUGAUCCAGCCAUGCCGCGUGUUUGAAGAAGGUCUUCGGAUUUUAGAGCACUUUAAGUUGGGAGGAAGGGCAGUAAAUUAAUACCUUGCUGUUUUGGCGUUACCAACAGAAUAAGCACCGGCUAACUUCGUG
rnacentral:rRNA from 1 species